CCGUUGCGACUGCGGAGGGACAUUACACAAAUAUGAAGGCGGGCUGGAACCUCUCGGGGUUACAGCCUUGCUGAAUUAUUCACCCUUGUCUUUUGCGUACUUCUUGUUUCCUUGGUGGGUUCGCCCACCACUAGGACAAACAUAAACCUUUUGUAAUUGCAAUCAGCGUCAGUAACAAAUUAAUAAUUACAACUUUCAACAACGGAUCUCUUGGUUCUGGCAUCGAUGAAGAACGCAGCGAAAUGCGAUAAGUAGUGUGAAUUGCAGAAUUCAGUGAAUCAUCGAAUCUUUGAACGCACAUUGCGCCCUUUGGUAUUCCAAAGGGCAUGCCUGUUCGAGCGUCAUUUGUACCCUCAAGCUUUGCUUGGUGUUGGGCGUCUUGUCUCUAGCUUUGCUGGAGACUCGCCUUAAAGUAAUUGGCAGCCGGCCUACUGGUUUCGGAGCGCAGCACAAGUCGCACUCUCUAUCAGCAAAGGUCUAGCAUCCAUUAAGCCUUUUUUUCAACUUUUGACCUCGGAUCAGGUAGGGAUACCCGCUGAACUUAAGCAUAUCAAUAGCGGGAGGAACAA
rnacentral:rRNA from 1 species